GGAGAAGUCGCCUAGUUGGUCGAGGGCGCACGACUGGAAAUCGUGUAACCGUCAAAAGCGGUUCGAGGGUUCGAAUCCCUCCUUCUCCGCCA
rnacentral:tRNA from 1 species